CCAAACUUGGUCAUUUAGAGGAAGUAAAAGUCGUAACAAGGUUUCCGUAGGUGAACCUGCGGAAGGAUCAUUAUUGAAUUUUUGAAGGGAGCUGUUUGCUGGCCUCUCUCGGCAUGUGCACGCUCCGUUCGAAUAUCAUCUUAUAUAUCUCCUGUGCACGUUUUGUAGGGUCUGUGGCUGUGAGGCUGCGUGCUCCUAUGUAUUUACAUCAUCGAACCCUUCAGUAUGCAUGGAAUGUUUGUUGCGUGCGCUGCACGUUUUUGUACAACUUUCAGCAACGGAUCUCUUGGCUCUCGCAUCGAUGAAGAACGCAGC
rnacentral:misc_RNA from 1 species